AUGUGCGCUGGAAAGCUCCAUCUUGUUGUUGGACUUGGUGAAGCUAAUGGGCCCGAGGUCGGUAAGAAGAGUAGGAUGCCUCCAUCUUAUGCUGGUGGUCCGCGCUGUAUGACUGAAAACUUCUAUGAUGGGGUGGCUGUUUUGCGUAUGCAUGCCUCGCCUGAUAUAAUCACAACCUUCACAUGUAAUCCAAAGUGGCCUGAAAUAACGGAGAGUACUGAACCUGGGCAAAAAACAGUCGAUAGGUCUGACAUUACCGUUCGAGUGUAUCGCUUGAAAUUUCUUGAGUACCUACAGAAAAUCAGGACAGGGAGGAUGUUUGGGCCUGUAGUUGCUGUUAUCCACACAGGGGAGUUUCAUAAGAGGGAGCUGCCGCAUGCGUGUGUCCUUGUUUGGCAAGAGAAGCAUCAUGACCGGGUGGGUUCUCAACUGACUGAUAUUGAUGCUGAUGCUCCUGCUACUAUGCCUCCUAACACGAUGGAAACUACAGUUCCUAUGCCACUUAAGCUUAACAGGGGUGCUACUGCUGCUGCUUUUUUUUUGAACCGGGCGUGCCCCUUUCCAUUUAAGAUAAACGGAAAUACAACAGUCUCUGAUACAACCAGGAAGCAAGGAAAGAGAGGCAGCGAGUUCAACGCACUACCAGGAAACCCACUGUGCUCGCCCGCCAUCAAAACGAGCACCAUGGGGCGAAAACUUGACAGCACCUACUUAGUUUGA
rnacentral:rRNA from 1 species